rnacentral:lncRNA from 1 species
UGGGAAAUUACUCUGGACCAUGCUCGAUCCUGUGUUCUUGAUAAUAGCGUCCAUGUGUACCAGCCUCAUGGAUUUCACAAGGAAACUGCUGUUGUCUUCAAUGUAGUAGCUCAAGUUCUUGGACUGCUUGUGGAUUUUCAGUAUGUUCCUGCUGUGAAGUUAUCCGAGACUGAAAAGGUACUGAGUUUCCCCUCUCUCUCUCUAAAAACCUGCUGAGAAGUUAUCCGAGACUGAAAAGGUACUGAGAUUCCCCUCUCUCUCUCUCUCUCUCUCUACAGAUCUUCAUAAGCUUGGAUUGUUUCUGAUUCAGGCUCAAGCUGAGGAGAUGGUUAUUGCUGCAUUGAGUCAUAUAAAUG